rnacentral:rRNA from 1 species
GACGAACGCUGGCGGCGUGCUUAACACAUGCAAGUCGAACGCUGAAGCUCAGCUUUUGUUGGGUGGAUGAGUGGCGAACGGGUGAGUAACACGUGAGUAACCUGCCCCCUUCUUUGGGGUAACGCCCGGAAACGGGUGCUAAUACUGGAUAUUCACUGGUCUUCGCAUGGGGGUUGGUGGAAAGGGUUUUUCUGGUGGGGGAUGGGCUCGCGGCCUAUCAGCUUGUUGGUGGGGUGAUGGCCUACCAAGGCUUUGACGGGUAGCCGGCCUGAGAGGGUGACCGGUCACAUUGGGACUGAGAUACGGCCCAGACUCCUACGGGAGGCAGCAGUGGGGAAUAUUGCACAAUGGGCGCAAGCCUGAUGCAGCGACGCCGCGUGAGGGAUGGAGGCCUUCGGGUGGUGAACCUCUUUCGCUCAUGGUCAAGCCGCAACAAUGGUUGUGGUGAGGGUAGUGGGUAAAGAAGCGCCGGCUAACUACGU